rnacentral:snoRNA from 1 species
UUCCCAUGGAGAAAAAUUCACAAGGCCAUACCUCCUCUGUCCUAGCUCUAAAGCCCAUAAAGCUGAACCCACUAAAGCUGGCUAGGGUAAAAGAGGAAAAGAAGUGUCAGAAGUAU